UACGUAGGGUGCGAGCGUUGUCCGGAAUUAUUGGGCGUAAAGAGCUUGUAGGCGGUUUGUCGCGUCUGCUGUGAAAAUCCGGGGCUCAACCCCGGACUUGCAGUGGGUACGGGCAGACUAGAGUGUGGUAGGGGAGACUGGAAUUCCUGGUGUAGCGGUGAAAUGCGCAGAUAUCAGGAGGAACACCGAUGGCGAAGGCGGGUCUCUGGGCCGUAACUGGACGCUGAGGAGCGAAAGCGUGGGGAGCAAACAGG
rnacentral:rRNA from 1 species